rnacentral:piRNA from 1 species
UGCCAAAAUACAGAGGUCGCCCUCU